rnacentral:rRNA from 1 species
CUACGGGAGGCAGCAGUGAGGAAUAUUGCACAAUGGGGGGAACCCUGAUGCAGCAACGCCGCGUGGAGGAUGACGCAUUUCGGUGUGUAAACUCCUUUUAUAUGUCAAGAAAAUGACGGUAGCAUAUGAAUAAGCACCGGCUAACUCCGUGCCAGCAGCCGCAGUAAUACGGAGGGGCAAGCGUUACUCGGAAUCACUGGGCGUAAAGGACGCGUAGGCGGGCUUGUAAGUCAGGUGUGAAAUCCUACAGCUUAACUGUAGAACUGCACUUGAAACUACGAGCCUAGAGUAUGGGAGGGGCAGAUGGAAUUAGUGGUGUAGGGGUAAAAUCCGUAGAUAUCACUAGGAAUACCUAAAGCGAAGGCGAUCUGCUGGAACAUAACUGACGCUAAGGCGUGAAAGCGUGGGGAGCAAACAGGAUUAGAUACCCUGGUAGUC